GUAGACACGACAAAGGCGUGCCCCCGCUCGAUAACCCAACCCAACCCAAGGUACUCGGAUCAGGUCACCACUCCAACUCCUUCCUCCUCGUGUCUCUCCCUCUCCCCCCAUCAUCGCGUGCUCCCUCCACUACUUCUCCCCCAAUUCUCUCUCUCGCCUCCCUCAUCCUCCUCCUCGGUCGUCGCCUCUCUCCCAGGGAGCAGGAGCCGUCACCUCGUGAAGCGUGUCAGUGCGUGCAUGCCUUAUUUCUCCUGUAUAACCUUUCCACCCAUUCUUUGGCUUGCUAGAAAAUCCGUACUGUUGAGCAAGAUGGGAAGACAAUAAAGCUGCAGAUUGCCCUUGCUGAUGAGAUCGGAAUACCAUUCCUUGAGACUAGUGCCAAGGAUGCAACAAAUGUGGAGAAGGCCUUCAUGACCAUGGCAGGAGAGAUAAAGAACAGGAUGGCAAGUCAACCGGCUGCAAGUGCUAGUAGGCCUGCAACCGUGCAAAUGAAGGGUCAGCCUGUUGCUCAGCAAAGCAGCUACUGCUCUUGAUCGUCAGUCUAGAUCACAGUAGUGAUAUUGUGCAGCAAGCAAAACUUAAUUGGUUGCUCGAUCCCUGUAAAUUAAGUCUAUCACUAUCAAGAAACUCGGUGUUGUGUCGGAUAUUGGAAGAAGUCUAUCUCCUGACUGCAACACUUUUAAGCAGAUGAUGUGGCCUGUUUUUUAACUGCCUGUUCAUAUUUCGAUGUUCAAGUGGCGUUGGUGUAAAA